CAUUCACGGAGAGUUUGAUCCUGGCUCAGGACGAACGCUGGCGGCGUGCUUAACACAUGCAAGUCGAACGAUGAACCACUUCGGUGGGGAUUAGUGGCGAACGGGUGAGUAACACGUGGGCAAUCUGCCCUGCACUCUGGGACAAGCCCUGGAAACGGGGUCUAAUACCGGAUACUGACCCUCGCAGGCAUCUGCGAGGUUCGAAAGCUCCGGCGGUGCAGGAUGAGCCCGCGGCCUAUCAGCUUGUUGGUGAGGUAAUGGCUCACCAAGGCGACGACGGGUAGCCGGCCUGAGAGGGCGA
rnacentral:rRNA from 1 species